rnacentral:lncRNA from 1 species
AACAAUACUUUUGAUGUCCCAGGCCGUUCCUUCGAAUUUGCUUUCGUUCCGCCACUUCCACAGAAUCUAAGUGUGCAAACCCAAAGCGCCUUUAAGAAAUUUCCAAUCUUCUUCCCUCUGCCUAAGCUUGCGAACAUGUUGAAGUGCAUUCUUACAGUUUGAGGACGAACCGAACUGAUCCCCAACCACUUUUGGAUCUCGUCCCAUACCACACCAAUCUUCAGGCAGAGCAAGAAAAGGUGGUUUGUCGUCUUGUUUUGAUGAUUGCACGGAUUGCACUUAAGCUCUUCUUCUUCCAACGUGACAUUCCUCUUCCUCAAGUUAUCAAUGAUUGCACGCAUUGCACUUAAGCUCUUCUUCUUCCUACCACUUUUGAAGGGUAUUGUCUACAACUCUACAUUAUCUUCUUUUAUUGUCAAUUUCAUCAUUGAAAUUCGUGGAAAAUUUAGGAAUAAAUUUACAACAAACCAAAAAUAAGGUUGGGGUAUUAUUGCAAAAUUCGAAAAAUUAACUUACUUUGCAAAAAUGUUGAAAGAGUAGGAUUUAACUUUUAAACAAGGAAACAUAACUUAGUAAAACACAUCCCUCUAAUCAGUAGGUAGAAGGGUUCAUGAAAACAAUUAAUUUAUUUUGUGCGUGUAUCAGUGUAUGUAACUUUAAGAAAACAAUUAUUCCAUUCGUUCCACUUUAAAUGACCCAAUUUAUAUUUUGGAUUGUCCCACUUUAAAUGACCCAAUCCAAAUUUAAAAAUAAAAUUGAGAAUUUAAAACUACUUUUUAAGCUGUUUCACCAUCACUUUACACUUUUAUCACAUAUUUUUUAAUUUAUGUGCUAAUUUUUUUGGAUCAUUUGAAGCGAGGCAGAAGGAGUAAUAUUUUUAUAUAUGGACCAAAAUUUUAGUAUUUUCAAAGGAUUCUUGUAUUUAUGGUAGUACGUUUACAUAUGCACAAGUCUAAGAGAUGUUCCAAUGUAUUUUAUUCAACGGAUUCUUGUAUUUUAUAAUAUGCUACUACGUUUAGGUACGCACAAAUGGUAAAGCUAACGAGGCACUCAAAAAUUCCCAUUUCUGAGAAUUUUUUAGUCUAAUUUCAUUAAUUAUCUCAUGCUUUUCCGCAUCUGUGUGGUCUGCAUGCGAUUUGUUUAUUUAAUUAUAUAUACUUUUUAUAAUUAUUAAAAAAUAUAUUACUGCCUCUCAGAUUCAGAUGUGACCUCCAGAAAAUGUAAGUUUCUUUCGCAUAGCUGUAAAUAAUUACUCGGGGGGGCAUUUAUUAUCAAAAAUUAAACCCUGGGCAAGCAAGUCGGCAAGCCGCAACUAAUGCAUAUAAUAAGUUACAAGUUGCAUGAUUUUAAAAUUACAACUUGAAGUAAAAUACUCAUAGUUGAUGAAGUGGAC